rnacentral:rRNA from 1 species
UACAGAGGUCUCAAGCGUUGUUCGGAUUCAUUGGGCGUAAAGGGUGCGUAGGUGGCGCGGUAAGUCGGGUGUGAAAUCUCGGAGCUUAACUCCGAAACUGCAUUCGAUACUGCCGUGCUUGAGGACUGGAGAGGAGACUGGAAUUUACGGUGUAGCGGUGAAAUGCGUAGAUAUCGUAAGGAAGACCAGUGGCGAAGGCGGGUCUCUGGACAGUUCCUGACGCUGAGGCACGAAGGCUAGGGGAGCAAACGGG